rnacentral:lncRNA from 1 species
AUAUAGCAGGUAGUGUUCAUUUUCCGAUUCUUCUCAAUCGAUCCCUUUUUGUUGUAAAUUCUGCAUAGAACCCAAUCAUCUAGCUGUAAACAAAAUACAAACCGUCAAAAAUCAAUCGAAAACACAGUCUAAAUCGUCAAAACAAUGAAUCUGUUCUGUACUCACCCUUAAGCUAUUGUUGUUCUUACGAGCAGAUCGAUCAACAUCAGCAAGACGAUAUUCAUGCAUGAUCCAAUUAGUCUUCUCUCCUUUAGGUGCCUUACCAGAAUAAAACACCAAUGCUUUCUUAAUUCCCACCGCUUUCGGAAUUCCAAUCGGCUUAUCCGCACCAGUAGCCUUCCAAUAUCCACUUCCAGCAGCUCGAUUCGGUCGUGAACCGUUCGGAUACUUCCGAUCUCGAGGUGAAAAGAAGUACCACUCUUUCUCUCCAUACAAUGCCAAAUCUAAAACACGAACACAAAAUUUAAUCAACACAAAUCCCCAAUUUCAUCAUUUCAACUGUUCACUACUAACAAAAACUAAAUUACCAGGAAGAUCCCAUGGAUCAAACUUGUAGAGAUCAAUUUCAGCUACAAUUGGUACAGUAAUUGGCUGGGAAGUGCAUUUUCGGCAUAAAUAAUGCGUCACAAGUUCUUCAUCAGUUGGAUGAAAUCUGAAUCCUGGAGGUAACUGCAAUUCAGCUGCUGUCAUUUUUCUUUUUUCUUUUAAAUAUAAAUUUCUGUUUUUAGUAUAAAUACAGAGUAUCUGAAUGAUUUCUGAAUUCUGAAUAGAAGAGAAGGAAUAGGAAAAGGGUUGAAAGUUGAAACUUAGGUCACAAGGGAGAGAACUAAAUAUAUAGAAAACGGAAGAAGGACACGUGGCGAAGAUAAGCUAAACGGAUCUAGAAAAAACGUGUUAAAAUAAUUAGAAAUAAAAUGUAAAAUUGAAAAUUAUAUUAAAAAAGAGUGGACACGUAUGCAAAAAUUGAGUUUGAGGGGGUAGGUGAGGGGGUGGGGGUGCAUUUGGUCACUGCUUACGCACUGCUUUUUGGACACAAGUGUCGAAAGGGACUAGGUGGCUCGGCGGGUUCAUGGAAGUUUCUGGUUCGGUUUUGGUUCGGGAGGAUCAGGCUCGGGAAGUUGACACGUAUACCAGGUAGAUGCACGCUCGGUAAUUUUGUGUCGUUACUUACGACAAAAAUGUGGGGGGCCACUUUAUUUUUUUAUAUUUUAUAAUUAAGUAAAUAAAAUAAAUUUAAAUUUAAAAAAAUGGAUGUGGAACUUUUAUGGUGUGAAGGUGGUAGUUGGAAUUGAUGAGAAGGAGAUGAACUAAUGUGUCAAUGAUUAGUGAAUUAACGUUGCUAGGAGUGACACAUAUACUAAUGAAUUUAUUAAGAUUGUAAAAAAACAAAAAACAAAAAAAAUAAAAAUGAAUGUAUUUAAAGAAAAAGAAAAACUAAUUUUUGUGAUUCUUUAAAGUAAACUUCAAUUAAAGAUGAAGAAAUUUGAUAUAUUUUAUGUUUUUUUUUAUCUAUCGUGGAAUAUCUAAGUUUGAUAAGGCCUCAUUUAGCAGGAAGCACGUCUACUAAGAAUUUUUUUCUAAUUUCUGAUUGAGAAAAGAAGCGGUCUCAUUCAGAAUAACACAUCUUUGCUAUUGUUAUUUUCCUAUCUAUUUGCGAUUCCUUAAAGUAAAAAGGUGUAAGCAUAUUCUUUAGAUGAUUUUGUAUAAUCAAUUUGCAGGAAUGAGAAAGAAAAAAAAAAGAACAAUGUUUGGUUUGUUUACACCUUUCGUAAUCAGAAUAUAGUUACUCAACAAUUAUUUUAUUGUGAAUAAGUUGCAAUUUUUUCUUCUAAAAGAUAAGAGCAUAUUUGAAUCUCAAAUAUGAUUGGCUAAUUUUGAGUCAAAUCGACUUCUGCGCCGUAGAUUAUCGUUUCUUCUGUUUUUCACUUCAUCCGUUUCAUUUCUUACGUCUGACUUUAUUUUAUUUUUUAAAAAAAAAUUGUAUGUAUCUAGUAAGUUCUUAAUUAUGUCAUUCCUAUUCCCCACCAAAUUCUUUAUUAAUGACACUUUUGCAGGGAUAACAUGACAUCUGAAAUUACAAUAAAUUUAUAGUGAUAUACCAACCUGACUGCGGUGCAGUUGUGAGACUGUUUUACCUUUAAUUAGAGAUUUUAGAUUCGAGCCAUGAGUAUGAAAAAAGUUAUAUUGGAAACGCCACUCUUAAGUAGGCCCUGUAGUGUGCGAUCUAAAUUUUAUUGGGAUUACAAUAUGAACGGGUGGAAAAUCAAAAUAAAUAAAUAAAUUAUAAUGAUACUCUUUCUAGAAGAUGGUUAAGACUUAUGAGUAUUAUAUUGAGAUUGAGAUUAGGUACUAUUUAGGUGAAAUGUUUAUGUUGUUAAUGGUUAUAUUAUAUUUGUUAAACAGAUAUAGAAAUAUAUACGGGUGUACAAAGUGUUUAAUAGACAAAGUGUAUCAAAUCGAAAAAAACCGACUAGUAAAUUCAUUUGAUAUUAAAAAAAUUAAUCAUUAUUAAUUUGAUUUGAUAUUUGACUUACAUAUAUUUAAUAGGAUUGAUAUGGUUUUGAUUUAACUUUUAAAAAAAGUUAAAUAUCAAAUUAAAUCAAUUAUGUUUAAUUUUUUAAUAUCAAAUCAAUUCACUAGUUGAUCUUUUCGAUUUGGUACACUUACAUUAUAUAUAUUUCUUUUAACUUUGUCACAAUUACUGUUUCUAAACAUUUUAACAUCAUGUUUGAGAUUUCAAUUUUACUUAAAUGAAAUUUAAACCAAAACUAAAAAAAAACUUCACUUAUCCAUAUAUUACUCUUAUUUAGAAGUGAGAGUUGGAAAGGACCAACACUGCAUUAAUACUCUUGUACAACAUGCAUACAAUUUUGUACAUUAACUUUUGACUGCAUUAAUUAGUUGUACAACGUGCAAAAAGAAUUGUACAUUAAUAAAAGGACUAACACCAAGGACUAACAUUGCAGUUAUUAUUAUUACUCAUUACUCCUUAUUAGAAUUAUUAUUAUUACUCAUUUGGCUCCUUAUUAGAGUUGACACUUUAAAGCACGAACACGGCACUACCAUGUUGUACACAAAGCAUUUCAAAUUGUACUAUAAAAUUAAUUGUGCCUCAUUAAUUGUACACGUUCCUUUCUACAUAUACAACAACCCACAUGAAGAAUUAAUUUUCUGACAAUUUUGGUUAUAUUUUCUUUAAAAUAUUAUUGCCUCGAUUUUUAUUUUUAUUUUUAACAUUUAUUUUCUAUUUUAAAAGAUUUGGAAAUUUUUAUGUUAAAAAUUUAAGUAAUAGAAAAAAGAUUUAUUUAACUUUUAUCAUCAUCAAUACUACUAAUUUAUUUGACGUUUUUUCUUAAUCUUCAUCUCAUCAUUAAUGUUAUUUAUAUAAUUUUCUUAAAUCACUUAUUUUUUCUUUUUUAACUCUUUUAUAUUUUAUUUUACUUCUUCUUAUUUAGAAUGGGAGUUUGGAGGAUCAACAUUGCACUAAAGAGUUGGAUUAAAAGCUAUAGAAAUUGUACAUUGAGGCCCACC